UCUUGUUCAACAGUUGGGUGAGUACUCUGAACAAGGAAAUAAAUGCUGUUGCUGUUGCAAUAACUACGAGGGAGAAAACGAAUUUGAGAUAACAGACAGAUUUGGUCACCAGAUAUUUCAUGCUAAAGAGGAGUCAGGGUUCUGCGGAAGACAAUGCUGCAAUUCACUAAGAGGAUUUGAGAUGUUUCUCUCUGAUAGGCAGGGUAAAGACUGCAUAAAGAUAUCUAGGCCAACAAGGUUUGAUAACUGUCUGAUCUGCCCCUGUUUAUUACAGAGUAUGGUGGUUGAGAGUCCUAUUGGAGUCGUUGUAGGCAAAGUAGAACAGAAGCUAACCCUCUUCUCUCCUGAAUAUGAAGUACUAGAUGCAGAUGAUACUCCUGUAUUCAAUA